AGUGGUUUAGCACUUGGCUGCUAACCAAAAGGUUGGUGGUUCGAACCCACUAGCCACUC
rnacentral:tRNA from 1 species